CCUGAACGCUGGCGGCGUGGCUAAGACAUGCAAGUCGCACGGACCCGCAAGGGUUAGUGGCGAACGGGUGAGUAAUGAAUCGCUAAUGUGCCCCGGACUCUGGGAUAGCCUUCCGAAAGGGAGGGUAAUACCAGAUGAUAUAACUUUGUCGCAUGACAGAGUUCUCAAAGGUCCGCCGGUCUGGGAGCAGGCGAUUUCGUAUCAGCUAGUUGGUGAGGUAACGGCNCACCAAGGCGACGACGCGUAGCCGGACUGAGAGGUUGGCCGGCCACAUUGGGACUGAGACACUGCCCAGACUCCUACGGGGGGCUGCAGUAACGAAUCUUCCGCAAUGUACGAAAGUAUGACGGAGCGACGCCGCGUGUAGGACGAAG
rnacentral:rRNA from 1 species